rnacentral:rRNA from 1 species
UAGGGCUAGCCUCGCGUGGUCCGUCCCGGUGGUAGAGAUCUGGCUGAACUAGGGGCCUUCCCAGGCUACCGAAUUCAAUCAAACUGCGAAUGCCGGGAACGAGUAACGCGGGAGUCAGACAGCGAGGGCUAAGCUUCGUUGUCGAAAGGGAAAGAGCCCAGACCGUCAACUAAGGCCCCCAAAUCUAUGCUAAGUGGGAAAGGAAGUCGAGAGGCUCUGACAGCCAGGAGGUUGGCUUAGAAGCAGCCAUCCUUUAAAGAAAGCGUAAUAGCUCACUGGUCGAGCCGCUCGGUGCCGACAAUCCAACGGGGCUCAAGCAUAGUGCCGAAGUUACGGGAUCGUAGCAAUACGGUCGGUAGGAGAGCGUUCCUGUCGCCUGCGAAGGAGGAUCGAAAGAAUCUCUGAAGGUCCAGGAAGUGACUCUGCCAGCAUAAGUAGCGAUAACGCAAGUGAGAACCUUGCGCGCCGAAAGUCUAAGGUUUCCUGAGCAAGGUUAGUCCGCUCAGGGUUAGUCGGAGCCUAAGGUGAGGCCGAAAGGCGUAGCCGAUGGACACACGGUUAAUAUUCCGUGACCUCCGUAGGAGUUACCGAUGCGGGGACGCAGACCCAAGGUUGGCUGGAUUAAUGGUUAUUCCAGUCGAGUGAGGGGAGAUCCGGAGUGGCAAAUCCGCCGGGUCGUCUGCCUGGAAAAGCCGCUAAGGGCCGAAGGAGUCCGUACCAUAAACCGACACAGGUGGACAUGUAGAAUAUACUCAGGCGCUCGGGUGAUGGGAUGUUGAGGAACUAGGCAAAUUGACCCCGUAACUUCGGGAGAAGGGGUGCCUUCGCAAGAAGGCCGCAGUGAAACGCGAGGGGCGACUGUUUAACAAAAACACAGGUCUCUGCAAAGUCAACAAAACGACGUAUAGGGGCUGACGCCUGCCCGGUGCCGGAAGGUUAAAGGGAGUGGUUAGCGCAAGCGAAGCUACGAACUGAAGCCCCGGUGAACGGCGGCCGUAACAAUAACGGUCCUAAGGUAGCGAAAUUCCUUGUCGGGUAAGUUCCGACCUGCACGAAUGGCGUAACGAUCCCUCGACUGUCGGGACAUCCCGCCCGGCGAACUUGUGGUUCCGGUGAAGACGCCGGAUGCCCGCCACUAGACGGAAAGACCCCGUGCACCUUUACUAUACCCUAUCAGUGAAUUAUGGGGCGAUCUGUGCAGGAUAGGUGGGAGGCUUUGAUUCCGGGUUCUCGGACUCGGAGGAGCCAACGGUGAGAUACCACCCUGAUCGUUCUGUGUUUCUAACCUAUUCCCGUUAUCCGGGAAAGGGACACUGGUAGGCGGGUAGUUUGACUGGGGCGGUCGCCUCCUAAAUUGUAACGGAGGCGCUCGAAGCUUGGUUCAGGAGGUUUGGAAAUCCUCCUUCGAGUGCAAUGGCAUAAACCAGGUUAACUGCGAGACCUACAAGUCAAGCAGAUGCGAAAGCAGGACAUAGUGAUCCGGUGGUUCUGUAUGGAAGGGCCAUCGCUCAACGGAUAAAAGGUACGCCGGGGAUAACAGGCUGAUCGAAGCCAAGAGUUCAUAUCGACGCUCCGGUUUGGCACCUCGAUGUCGGUUCAUCGCAUCCAGGGGGC